AACGCGAAGAACCUUACCUGGGCUCGAACGGCUGGUUAACGCCGGUGGAAACAUCGGUACUCCGCAAGGAGGUCCAGUCGAGGUGCUGCAUGGCUGUCGUCAGCUCGUGUCGUGAGAUGUUGGGUUAAGUCCCGCAACGAGCGCAACCCUUGUCCUGUGUUGCCAUCAUUCAGUUGGGAACUCGCAGGAGACCGCCAGCGAUAAGCUGGAGGAAGGUGGGGAUGACGUCAAGUCCUCAUGGCCUUUAUGUCCAGGGCUACACACGUGCUACAAUGGCCGGUACAAAGCGCCGCAAACCCGCGAGGGGGAGCCAAUCGCAAAAAACCGGUCUCAGUUCGGAUUGCAGGCUGCAACCCGCCUGCAUGAAGCUGGAAUCGCUAGUAAUGGCAGAUCAGCACGCUGCCGUGAAUACGUUCCCGGGCCUUGUA
rnacentral:rRNA from 1 species